UGGGGAAUCUUAGACAAUGGGGGCAACCCUGAUCUAGCCAUGCCGCGUGAGUGAUGAAGGCCUUAGGGUUGUAAAGCUCUUUCAGCUGGGAAGAUAAUGACGGUACCAGCAGAAGAAGCCCCGGCUAACUCCGUGCCAGCAGCCGCGGUAAUACGGAGGGGGCUAGCGUUGUUCGGAAUUACUGGGCGUAAAGCGCACGUAGGCGGACCGGAAAGUUGGGGGUGAAAUCCCGGGGCUCAACCUCGGAACUGCCUUCAAAACUACUGGUCUUGAGUUCGAGAGAGGUGAGUGGAAUUCCGAGUGUAGAGGUGAAAUUCGUAGAUAUUCGGAGGAACACCAGUGGCGAAGGCGCUCACUGGCUCGAUACUGACGCUGAGGUGCGAAAGCGUGGGGAGCAAACA
rnacentral:rRNA from 1 species